GGACCUUGAAGCACAGAGAGGGCUUCCCUCUUGUCUGGAGGAAAAAGAAAAAAGAGAACCAGACUUAGACACAACUUCUUGUGGGCACAUAUUCAGAAGGCAUCUCACUGGAGAGGGUUUAGUUCUCCUUAGCAGAAGAUAAGAUUUCAAGAUUUCAGCUAAGACUCAUCUCUCUGCAAAUCUUUCUUUUGAGAGCAUCUUCACCAGGAGGAGAUUCCAUCUCAAGAGACCACUUUCACUGCUCAUAUGUAAGAAGCAACUCUUCAUCUGUUCAAGUUUGAUCAUGAGAGUGCGGCAAUUCAGUCACAACUUCAGGCUCCACUUCUAGUUCUAGUUCUCUUGCUGUUUCCACCACAUCUACAGCGACUUCCUCCACUGAAGACGUGAACCCCUGAAAGUCAUCUAUGGGGGUUGGAAUCAAUGUCUUUCACACUCCUGUUAAUGUUGGUAUUUUGACCUCCUCCCAUGAAUUACAAAUGUUCCUAAUGGCAUCUAGAAUAAUGACUACUUUCCAGAAGCUUUUCAAUUUGCUUUGCUCAGAUCCAUCAAUGGAAUCACUAUCAAUGGUAGCUAUAUAAACUAUAUAAGGCUAUAUAUAUAUAUAUAGCUAUUUCUUAAUAGCCUUAUGAAAUAUAUUUCUUAAUAAGACUUGAAAGUCUUGGUCCAUGGACUGCAGAAUGGAUGUUUGUGUUAGCAGGGAUGAAAACAACAUGAAUAUUCUCGUACAUCUCCAACACAGCUCUUGAUCGACAUGGUGCAGAGCAGUAAUAUUUUGAAAGGAAUCUUUUUUUCUGAGCAAUAGUUCUCAAUAGUGGGCUUGAAAUAUUCAGUAAACCAUGCUGUAAACAGAUGUGUUGUCAUCCAGGCUUUAUUGUUCCAUUUAUGGAGCACAGAUAGAGUAGAUUUCGCAUAAUUCUUAAUGACACCAGGAUUUACAAAAUAGUAAAUGAACAUUUACUUCAACUUAAAGUCAUCAGCUGCAUUCACCUCUAAAAAGAGAGUCAGCCUGUCCUGUGGAGCUUUGCAGCUUGCCUUGACAUCUCCUCUCUAGCUGUGAAAGUCCUGGAUGGCAUCUUCUUCCAACAUAAGACUGUUUUGUCUACACUGAAAAUCUGUUGUUUCGUGUAGACACUUUCAUCAAUUAUCUUAUCUAGAUUUUCUGGAUAACUUGCCACAGCUUCUCCCUUUGCACUUGCUGCUUCAUCUUGCAUUUUUAUGUUAUGGAGAUGUUGUCUUU
rnacentral:lncRNA from 10 species